rnacentral:lncRNA from 1 species
AUGGUUAAAUUUUAACUACUCAGAGCCUUGAUUCUGCAUAGUCACAAGAAGUACGUGCCAACUGCCAAGAAAAUUUGUUUGAGCCCCAAGAUUUGGGCUUCUAGGCCCGAAGCUGUGUUCGUGUGCGGUCCACAAGCUUGAUAAAUUUAGAGAAAAUAUCAAAAAUACCCAUAUUUUCUUUUUAUCAAAUUUAUGAUAUUAUUUUAUUUUUACAGUAUUAAAAUAUAAAAAAUACAGUUUUUUUAAUUUUUUUAAGAUUACAGUUUUGGUUGUUUUUUUUUUUUUUUAAUACAACAAUUGAAGAACAAUCGCAAAAUAACUGAAAAGCAACUCAAAAUAACUACAAUGUAAAUUUUAAAAAAGUAGCUCAUAUUAUUUUCUUAUCUCACCUAGCAUCCUCUUGUCAGCAAGAAAAGUAGCUCAUAUUAUUUUCUCUAAUCUAAAACCCUAACCUUAAAUAUGAAAGAAUUUAUUGCCCAACACUUUUUAAGCAUCAGGUCUCCUUGUCUAAUCUAUUAUAGCUAAGACAUCGAAGACAUAGUUUACAUAUCCAUUGAAAAGAAUCCUAGGCUAAAAUAAACUUGAGAACAUUACCCCUGUGCACAGUGAAAUUGACACCAUCCACUCUCACUAGUUGAUUGAUCUGCUGCUAUAUGCCAAAUGUGUUUGUUUGAUUGAUCUGUUUAGAUUUGUUAAUAAGAUUUUGAUGGGUUCGUCAAAUUCAUUAUGACUUUUAGAACUGAAAUUUUUUCAUUAAAGCUCGCCUAUCAUUUGGUGGUUUAUUUAUGUGUGAUCCCAAUUCGCUGAUGUGUUGGCCGUCUAGAAAUUAAAUUACUUGUUAAAAAUGUUAUCUUGCAUCAUCCACUUUGAUCACUGUUAUGAUAUGUUGUUUGUAGUCAAUUUUGGGGAAUUAAAAGUCAGAAACAAAAGUUUCUAAUCCACUAGCUGAGCACAAACAACUGGGACACUGCAAUGUUCUACACAAUUUCCUAUCUCUUCUUGCUUUCUUUUCCUGUCAAGGCACUCAUAUGCACAUUUAAAAUAUGCUUGCUGCAACGCAACAGUGCAAAGUAUUUUGAUUAAUUAUAAAGAAAUGACCCUUUCUAAGAGAAAAAAUAAAACAUAAAGACGUAAACUUUUUCUCAAGCAGAUAAUCAACCAAAUGUACCCAGAAAAACAUAAGCAAAACCCAGAUUUAAAAAGAGGAAAUAAACCUAAGACCGGCAAGAAACAUACCUGAAGUGUGAAAUUGAUGAAUCUUGGACAGGGGAAAGAUGGGUUUGAUCAGCUGUAUUGACUUCAUUAAGCUUCUUUUUCAAUCUCUCUGAUCCAUCCUUUUCUUAUCGAAAUCCAAUUCCUCUCAAUGCUAAAUUCAGCAACUUUAGUAGGGUUUUGGCCUUUUGCCUUGCAAAAUUGCUGCAGUCCCAGGGUUUAUUGACAAAUAUUUAUGGCAGAUACCUUCUGCCCUUCUUCUCAUUUUCCUUGAAGGUUAAGUUGGAGAAGUUUGGGCUGGGCCUAGUGUCUUGUAAAUGAAACAGCCCAUUUCAAAUUUCUU